rnacentral:lncRNA from 10 species
UAGGGUCUCACUCUAUUGCCCAGGCUGGGGUGCAGUGGUACAGUCUUGGCUCACUGCAACCUCUGUCUCCCGAGUUCAAGUGAUUCUCCUGCCUCAGCCUCCCAAGUUGAUGGAAUUACAGGUGUUUCUUUGCCUUUCAGAAAUAUAAGGGUUUGAAUUAAAAUAUUUUAUGCCACCUGUGUUGCUGGAACCUAAAUCAUAUUUGUAGGGAAGAAGGAUGAAGAGGGAGAUAUUUAUGGUGAGUGUUUAACCUCUGAAUUUGUCUUCAUGGCUGACUUUGGGGAUCAAUCAUAAAAUCAUACCUGUGUUCAGUCUGGUGUAACUUUUAAAGUGAUUGAGAUAUUUAUUAACCCAGUUAUUUAUUCUUGGAUGUUAUUAUCAUUUUAGAGCUUUCUUUGAAAAUCUGUCAUUUGUUAAUUGAGACAUCUUGUUUGAAACAAUGUGCAGCAUAACAGAGAAAUCAUAGGCCAUCAUUUGAGUGACAUUUAUUGUAUGUGGUCCAUGAUCCUUGAAAGUCUACUUUGUCUGUGUUUUUUGAGCACUCCUUACCUUGGUCCCCUAUUUUUGCUAAGUUGGGGUUUAGUCUGAAAGGCUAAAGGUGAGGAGAUUGUGUGUUCCCUUAUUGGGGCCUAAGCUUGCCACAUGGCGCGUUUCAUAGAUUGUCAUAGGCUCCCACUGCAGAAUACAUGGUGAUGGCCCACCGUAGCAGGGCUACCCAUCCUCGGUCCUAUGGUCAGACACCACCCAUCUGCCAAGGAUUAUUGCCCCACAUUGACUCCAGACUAUGGGCUUCAGGAAGACCCUGGAGGACAGAUUUGUAGGAAGGAUGGGGGUUCACUCUGUCAAAGUGUGUAUCCUUGAGUGACUUAGUUUUUGUUCAAAUGGAAAUUUAAAUUCUUUCUAAAAGGAAAAAAAUUACACAGAAGAUACGUUAUUAUAGUGUGUUGCUGUCAUUAAAUUUAUCUAAUGAAAUAAAUAGAUAAACAGAUACUGUCUCUCCCUCUGAUGGGGAUGUGUUGAUGGUGUUCUUAGGAGAGGACCGUGUGGAAAACUUGCCUCUGAGGCCCCCAGGCCUAAGGUCCUCCAUCCUCCCAUGGAGGCUGUUUGCUGUCGCACUGGAGGAAUGCUUUUCCUCUUAGGACAAUCAUGGCUUGUAGCAGAGCAGGAGACUGCAUUGGUCAGGGGAUUCCGAGUGGAUCUACAUGGCUGGGUUUAAGUCCCAGCUCUGCCAAUUGUCAAGGCUGUGAUACUAGGCAAAUACUUCUCCUGAGCCUCAGUUUAUUCUGUAAAAUGAGGGUGACAGGCCGGAUGUGGUGGCUCAUGCCUGUAAUCCCAGCACUUUGGGAGGCCAAGGUGGGCAGAUCACUUGAACCCAGGAGAUUGAGACCAGCCUGGGGAACAUGGUGAAACUCUGUCUCUAAAAAGAUUACAAAAUUACCAGGCAUGGUGGCACACACCUAUAGUCGCGGUUACUUGGGAGUCUAAGGUGGGAGGAUUGCUUGAGCCUAGGAGGCAGAGGUUGUAGUGAGUUGAGGUCAUGCUGCUGCACUCCAGCCUAGGCGACAGGGCCAGACCAUGGCUCAAAUUAAAAAAAAAAAAAAAAGAAAAGAAAAGAGAGUGCCAGGCAUACCCUUCUUACAGGGAAGUGAGAGGUAAAGGAGAAAAUGCAGCAGAUGCUUGCCCCUGUCUCUGGCUGAACUUGGACAGAUUCAAAAGAGGGAAAUACAAGGUUUUGAAGAAAUUAGGAGCUCAGAACAGGGCUGAUCAGAACUCUAGGAGAGGCUGGGCACAGUGGCUCAUGCCUGUAAUGCCAGCACUUUGGGAGGCUGAGGCAGGCAAAUCACCUGAGGUCGGGAGUUCUAGACCAGACAGGACAAUAUGGCGAAGUCUCAUCUCUACUAAAAAUACAAAAAAUUAGCCA